CCCGCCCCUCCAGGCCAGGCCCGAGGGCCCGGGGACGGCGGACCGGGCACCUGCCGGGGAGGCGCGGAAAAGCGGGAUGCGUGGCUCGCUUGCCUGGCCACUUGUAAACGGGGGACACGGCUCAGGGUAGUUGACGCUGCUUCUCUUGUGAGAAGGGACUCUGAGCUCCAAGGAAUUAAAGCCCAAGUUGUAAACUGACAUCAGCACCAUUUUCUGCCUCCAGGUGAGUCAGUACGACUCCAGAGGACGCUAUUUUCCUGAUCAAAAGGGAACUGACUCAGCAGGCAUAUACUUUUUGCCUUUUGACCUAUACCCUUUUCUCUUGGAAUGUGGACACCAUGUCUGCUGAUGGGGAAGGAUCUUGGAGGCCAUGAGAAUUAAAGCCAUGUGAAGAGUCUGAAGAAGGAUCAUAAAAACAGAAGGAACCUGGGAAUUCUUUGGUUUUGCAUAUUCUCAAUACGUCUAGCCAUGGACUUUUGGAAAAUUAAAAGGAAAGAAAACAAAUCAUAUCUUUUAUAACAUACAAAGGAAAAUGUGGAAACAAUCCAAUGUCCAUCAACAGGAGAAAGGAUUAAUGAACUGGGCUAUUUUCCACAAGGAACUAUUCAACAGCAGUGAAAAUAAACGAACUAUAACAUCCACCUUAUCAUGUGCUGUGCUGCGCUCUAGGAUCCUGCAGAGAAGAGCUCUGGCCUGAUUCAUCUCCUUCGUGUGGAUUCCCCAGCUCUGCUGCUGCUGCCGUCACGCCUGCCUUCUACUGCAGCACAGCUCCUCCGGUACAUAGCUGCACACUCUUCACUGUAGGUCCUUCCAGUUGCAGCACGCGGGACGCCACCCCAGCGUGGCCCGAUGAGCAGUGCCAUGUCUGCGCCCAGGACCUGAACCAACGAAACACUGCGCCGCCGGCAGCGGAGCGUGCCAACCCAACCACUCGGCCACAGGGCCAGCCCCUGGUCCCAUGAUUUUUAUGGGGUUGGGAGUUGAGGGCAAUGAGAUGUAGGCAAGUCUGCGGGGAGUAAACUGGGGAUAAUUUCUCUUCCUGGUAAAAGAGAGGCAUGAAAGCAGAAACCCGUUUGUGCAUGUCCCCUUUCUGCUUGGAAUGCUGUUGUGCCCCCGGCUGUGGCAGCGACCUCAUAGCAUUCUGGUGUUCGUGGCCAACACAGUAACGGCAGAGAAAUGCUGGGAGGAGUCUGGAUCUUUGAUCACAGUGCUGCAUGGCUGCUCCAGUCCUGGCACCUCCCACCUGUAGACUUCUGAUUUGGUGAGAUGGUAAGUGCCUAUGUGGUCUAAACUGGUUUUAAUUGGAGAUCUUGUUCUUUCAGGGGCAGGCUUUCUCACUGACAAACAUGAUACUUGAUACCCUUUUUGAUUUUGGGUAGGCUGAGGCAUCAUUUUGAUGGAGUUGGGCCAGGAUAUCGUGGGAUAGAACAGGGUCAGGAGGGGUGGCAUCUGAAGCAUCCAGAUGAGGAGAAGGUCUCUCUCUGCAUGAGUGCAAGUUAAUUUCCAGGAAGCUUAGCAAUUUAAAGGCAAGGAAAGCCAUCACGUCCAAGUACGCCUGAGGCUGAGAAUAAAAGAUAAGACACAAAAGAUUGGAAGUCCCCAGAUGGGAAAACAGAAGCAAGAAUAUGGGUUAAGUGAGAGAAUUAAGUGCAUUUCCAGGAAAAGAUAGGGUGCCCAGGGCUGGUAGCUUUUGGAGGCUUCCCUGCCCUCUACGGAGUGUGUGAUCCUGGCUUAAAUGCACAACUUCAGAGAGAUAAAUGAGUCCUUUUUCUAACAUCCUGGCAUCUUUUCAGUUCCCCUUUCCCUAAGCUCUGAAUUGCAGAAUGCAUUUUGUGUUAAGAAGCAGAUUUGUAGGCCUCUGAAUGAAAAGCUCUGCUGUGUGAUUUUCUACAGAAUAGCUCCUAGUCUAAAGUCACCAGCCAAAGCAACAUUCUGUUCAGAAAGUGGUAAAAAUAUGAUUAGGGAAUGUUCAUAUACUGUGCUUCAUAUAGUCAAGUUUAGAAGCCUUUGCUGAGAGCCUUUUAGGAGCUGGGCCCCCUGGACCAGUUACCAUCUUUCAGGAAUAAACAUAUUGUACAGAAACCUUAUAAAAUCCACACAAAAAUGUAGCAAAGCGUACACUUUCUUUUUCUGUCAAGCUAGCUUUUCUCUUUAAAAGCAAUCUUGAUCUAUCAGAAUCAGUAGGAUCUGUUUCUCUAAUACAUCAUGAAAUACCUAUCUGUGAUGUUUCUCUUCCAGCAUGUAGACAUCAGAAUGGGUUGGUCACCCUCUCUAUAGGAGAGGACAAGAACAUUCACUUGGAAACAAAUUAUAUAUAUAUUUCAAAUCCAUUUGUCAUAGUUUUCUGAAAUUUCUGAAUUUCUGCUUUAGCUAUUGUAUCAGUCAGGAUUAAGUUCAGGCAACAGUAAUAACUCUAAUUUGAGCAGAAAAUUUAUUGAAAGGUUAUUGAACAGCUCUCAAAAUCUCUGAAAAGGGGACAAAACCAAGUUAGAAACUAUGUGGCCGAGAACAAUGUCCCAAAUGACACUGAGACACCACUGCACGCCCUGGUCAUAGGCACCACUGUAUACUACGUAGACACCAUUAACACUGGUCCAGGGCACUAUCUUUGGAUACAUGAUGUAGCUAACCACUGGUUUAAUUUUACUACUGAUACCACUCUCUGCAGAAUAGAUUCUAUGCGGUUACUGGUUUUUGUGUUAGUAACAUACAAUUCAAAGUCUAGGAUGGGCACAUGCAAUUGGAGGACAUUGGAUUAUAUCUGUGAGCCUCAAUUGCAAGAAAGGAUAGAAAAACGAGAAUUUGGAAUUUUCUGUUUCUAUGGUAGGAAAUGAUAUUUGUCUCAUUAGGCAGGGAUUUCCUAAACCAUGGUUAAAGGAAGCGUUUGGUCAUGUCUGUAGACAAUUUUUUAUUGUUACGCCUUGGCUGGUGUGUGGGGUCACUACUGACGUCUAGUGGAUAGAGGCCAGGGAUGCUGCUAAACACUCUACAAUGCUCAUAACAUGUCAUGACAACAGAGAAUUAUCUGGUCUAAAAUAUCAGUAGUGUCGUUGUUGAGAAACACUGCCCUUAAUAAAAAAGGGUUUCAGAUACACAUGGCCAAAUGAAUGACAAAUAUUCACAGUCUUUGGUUUGCAACUCAGAAGUGUGUUUGCAAACUGAGUGAAAUUCAAAACUGGCCCCUGUACGCAGAGGGCAAGGAAAGAAGGAAAAAAGAGACAGAUGACUCCAGAAUGGUAGGUGGCUAUUUUAACAAGCAAGGGAACUUACAUAGAAGGAUUGUCUUGGGCAGCCAUAAGAUGAGUAGAUCUCCACACUCAGCCACCAGAAUCUUAACAUUUAUAAAGAGGCCUUAAUGGAGUUCAGUCACAUACAUCGUCCAGAUGGUCUGAACAGCACAUUGCCCUCUCAAGGCUGUGUCCUUGAAAUGACUCCCACUCUGGAAACGGUGGGCACAAUGUCCAUUCCAAGGACAGUGGAGUAGGGGAGGAGCCUCUGAUUGCCCAGGUCCAGCUGAUGGGUCAACCAGUGGUCACGUCCUCUAAAAGAUCUCCUCCAACAGCAGUGGCCAAAGACUUUUUUCCUUUCUUCUUUAUUAGGUUUGUUUUUACAGUUUCCAUCCUUUGUUUCAAUUAUACUUUUCUGUAUUUUGUGAGAAAAGACAUAUGUGAAGAAGAUGUAAUGAAUUCAGUAUCAAUGAGGAAACAUGCUAAGAGAGGUCACCAGCAUGCCCAAGAUAACAAAGAUAGUAAGUGACAACUGAAACCCAUGACAGAUUUCAAAGCUCAUGCUCUUUCCCCUCUGCCAUGUCUUUUCUUCUGUAGUCAUCUGGGACCACAGACAAGACAUUUGUGAUUAUUUUUACGAUUUUGUAGAAAGUCUAGAUAUAACACACAACAACUGGGAAUGAGUCGUCUCUCCUAAUUUCAUUGACCUCCUGUAACCAGUUGAGCUGAUAGUGUACCCUCAACCUGCAUUCCACUCCUCCAGAUUGCUCAGGCAUCUUUCAAUCCACUUACCAAAGACCUCAAGCCACAUGGAACUGACAGUAAUAUAUGUUGAAGUGAAUAGUUUCUAACUGUCUCCUUAGGUUAGGGCCCAGAAAGGGGAAGGAUGCUAAAGCAGUAAUGGCAUUCCUAAAUGGGGGUGUAGGGGUAUUAUCCUCUCCUUUUAUUCCACUAUUAUGCUGCAUCCACUCUGCACUGGGCCCCAAGCUAGCACUAUUUUCUGCUGAGCACACCACUGGGGGGUAGGGGAUGUUCUCCUUUGCUCUGGAGAAAUCCAUAGUAGGCUGGGGCAAGCACUUGCAUCAGUCACGGUUGAAAGGUCCUGAACAGGGAUUCAGAUCUAGUGACAUCAGACGUGCCUGCAGCAGCAACCCGAGGAUCCUUUUGGAAUCCCUUUUCUCAUGUCAUCUGCGCCAGUCAGGCUCUGGCUUUGACUUUAGCCAUGCUGUCCACUGAGCAUAAAAUUUUGUUUGGAGCAACCAACUUCAGGCGGCAGAAGCAAUUUUAGAAUCCCCCGCCUCCAGGGGACAUAUCUGAACUCUGGCUACAGAGACAGAGAGAGAGAGAGAACACAGUCUUUGGACAAGAGUAAGCACUUGGAUUUGUGCUCAUAUCGGGGGAGGGCAUCAGUGGGCUAGAGACACUGGCCUGUUUGAUAUGCUGAGAAUGUGUGAAUGCAAAGGUUGUGUUUCAGGAAAUUUAUUGGAGACUGUUAUUUACAUCCCAAAUUAUACAGCAGAUUAUUUCAGUUCUCAUAUGUUAAUGCACUUAAUUAUCAAAAAUUCCUAUGAGGAAGAUAGUGUGUUAUUCUGCUGUCCAGUUUACAGGAUAUGUGGCAGAGGACUGGAGAUGGAAGUAAUAUAGCAUUAUUACCUAGUCAGCGGUGAUUUGUACCGAGGUCUGUAAGACUUCAAAUCCUGGGCUGUUCAGUACCACACUUAUGCUGCCAAUCAGUCCUCGUUUUUCUUCUUAGGGGUGAGAGUACCACAAUGUUGUUUGCUGUCUUUCCACGCUUUGUCAUUCCACCUACGCAUUUUGGAAAUGAUUAACACUGGGUUUCACAGCUUAUUCACUGGACAACUACAUGGGGGCACUCUUGAAACUCUGGGGAAGGACCUAAAAUUAAUAAAUUAAUGGAGGAAAUCCAGCCUUCUGCUUCCCCUCCUCACUCCCACCAAAACCCAUGUUUUCUUUCAAGUGAGGAUCAUGACCUUUCAAAGGAUCUUGAAAUCAAUUUAGUGAUCCAUAACUGGCCUUAAAAAAAAGGGUUGGCUAAAACACAAGAUACGAGAACAUAUCCAGUAAGGCUAAUAUUAUGUGAAAAUUGGUUCCAUUUUAGUGAUAUAUAAUGAGGAUGAGUGUAAAUAUAAAAUGUAUGUCUUACUGUGGACCACAGGGUCACAAAACCACCACAUGGCUUGUAAGCUACUGUGAGACCCACUCUAGAACAGCACAAGUCACCAUUAUCUGGGCUGACAAGGACGGGAUGUAUGGAAGAGGAGUAGUUAUCUUAGAAAAAUAGACUGCAGAGAAGAAGCUUUGUCAUGGAGUCCAAUACUGCAAAAGUGCAGUGGUUGGGAAAAAUAAAGAAAAUACACACACACACUCUCUCUCUCUCUCUCCCUCUCCCCCUCCCCUUCUUGGCUAGUUCUUCCUGUCUUUUGUCAGCAGCUUCCCAGGACUUGGAGGAAGAGCUACAUAAUUUGAGGAACCCAGAAUUUGUUCAGCAUCUACAGCGUGCCAGUUUCUUUACAUAUAUCAAUCAACUGAUAAUUACUAUAAGCCAAUGGGAGCAGCCUGACUUAUAGUGCACCAAAUGUGCACUGUACAUCUGCUUCAAACACGUUCUCAAGGCAAGGAAUGCACUCUUUAAAGAUAAGGAUGGAUGUCUCCCUUCCUCUGAUGCCAGCACCAGUACUUCUUUGAAGAAAGCAGACUCUGGGACGGAAAUUCAUGCUCAGGGCAUUUAAUGAGGAAUUCAUAGGAUCAGCAUCGUGGAGGAGUGAUAGAAGCAGGAUUUGGCAAAGGGAGAAUGUGAACUGUGGAGGACGCAGCUCUGUUGCUGAGAAGGCCCUGCAUAGUUGGCAUGCACAGCGGCAAGGAGGAUGGACCUUUGUAAGGGGACGCACACUGAGGAAUUAUAUGUUGACUCUCCCCCCCGACUCCCCCACAUCUCAGAAAAGGGCAAUUUCCAGAGACGGACUCAGUCACCGACCAUCUGCAGAAACCAGCGCUUCUGCUCCAGAGGAGUCGGGGAGCUGGACAACACACCAUAACACCCACUGCAGUGUGUGACAUUUUCUUUUUUGAAAUCUAAAUUCUACUGUAUUUCAACACCAUUCUUGUGUUUAUAAAUUGUAUGAGUCACUGUGUGGGUGAACAAUUUUAAAUCGAAGAAUUACUAGAGGAUUCGUGGAUAUUCUCUGUGCAUUUCAGGCAGAAAUGCAGAAAAGUAGCAUUGGGUGGUUUGAAAACCAGGCUGCCUCGAUUCAACUCCCAAGUCUGCAUCUUUUAAACUCUCUUUCCUUUCUCCCGUCCCUCCCAAGAAGUCUAGGAGGCCCAGCCGACACAUUUACAAAUCUCCUCUGUGGGAAGUCCCUUACUCUCAGUGCUUGAGGUGAACAUUAGCAGGAUUACAUCCAUAGCUUGGCAUGGUUAUUGAAGGGUUUUUGAGUAACAAAGCAUUCCAAGUGAUGAAUAGCAAUAUACAAUUUAAUUAUGUAGUUUGCCAAUUCUAGUUCUAUCUAUUGUGCAGCACCUUAAUAAAUGAGUCCUUUCAAAGAAGGUUACAGUAUGUGUCCAGCAUUACUCUAUGUUGAAAAGAAAAUUUUCUUACCUGUGACCUUCACUAAUUUGUAGUUAUACAAACAAUAAAAAUGUUAUCUUAGACUUUCACUACUGAAAAGCCUUCAAUGGCUCUCUUUAGGCUGCAAAAAAUGUCCAAACUCUGAUGCAGAGCUAAUUGGCAUAGAUCUUAGAUCCAUGCAAGGAGCACCUGCCCAUGUCAGUGAGCUUUAGAGGACACCGUAUGGCCUCCUCUGGCUGUACCUUGUCCCCAGGAAGACAGUCUUUGUGACCAAGGUGCUAUGCCCACUUACAGUCCUUGUUUCUGCAUUCCCCACCUUUCAGAUCUUGCUUUAGAAUGUCUUGCCCAAUGGUGACCUGUUUCCAGGGCCUAGGCAUGCCUGACCUGGACCAGCUCUUGACAGCAGCCAGCACCACAGGUGUGUGCACCUGGACACACCUUUACUGUAUUUAGGCUUUUUUUAAACUUAAAUUACAACUUCUAAAAUUUUUAAUGUAUGAUCUGUAAAUCUUCAUUUGUACUUUCCUCAUGCUUCACAAAUACGGAAGGCAGACCUGCUUCAUAAACAAACCCCUAGUUUUCAGCCCCAUCUUUUUUCAACUCUCUCUCUUCAAUUGCAAUGUGCACCUGAAACACACUCAACUUACUUCACUGCUGACGUCUUAAACAAAUCAUUCUGUUUCUUAUCUUUCUAUGUUUGCAUUUGUCUCUGUGAGUGAUUUUUCUCUCUGUAGACUGACUGGUCACGCCCCAGACUCUAUUCUGCCUGUCCACUAGGCCAAUUUUCAUCAAAAAAGCAGUUUAAGGGGGCUGGCCCCGUGGCCGAGUGGUUAAGUUCACACGCUCCGCUGCAGGUGGCCCAGUGUUUCGUCG